rnacentral:piRNA from 1 species
AUCAGUGUUGGUUGCAUGAACAGAU